UCACAUACGACACUUAUGAGAAUUUCUUGUUUCUUAUUAAUGCAAGUAUUUUGUACCACUCUCUCAACUUAAACCCUUGCAUUAAGUGAUCUCUUCUUUGUCAGUUACACAACUUGCAGCAAAACCAUGUCAGGCUACCUUGGGCAUGAAGUGCAAGAUGCGAGAACAUUCGCCUCAUGGGGUGUCGAUUAUUUGAAGUACGAUAACUGUUACCAUAAUGGAUCAAGACCUCAAUAUAGGUAUACAAGGAUGAGUUACGCAUUCUGGAAGGUUGGCCGACCCAUUUUGUACUCUAUAUGUGAAUGGUAAGUCAUGUUGUACUAAAAGUUACACCCUUCAGCAUCAAUAGCUCAUUGAUUGGUAGUACUCUUUCAAGCUUCUUAUUUUAGUUAUGUUUCAUAGUCUCUAAGGCGUAUGUUUUCUAUAGGGGUAAACAGAAUCUAGCAACAUGGGUUAGUAGUUUUGGAAAUGCAUGGAGAACAAUAGGUGACAUUCAAGACAAGUGGGAGAGGUUUCCAUCUUGUCUUUUGGUUUGAUCCUUGAAUGUUUGGGCAGGGGCUUUGUCAGGGAGACGGAUAGCGGUUGUGUUAUGGAAUAGAAGUGGGUCUCAGGCUCCCAUAACAGUGGUUUGGAGGGAAAUUGGACUCUCCCCAAAUACACCUAUAGUAGUCAGAGACUUAUGGGUGCAUUCAUAUGUGUCAAAGAGUUUGCGUUUCCAGUUGACGGCGUUUAUUGGUCCUCGUUCUUGUAAGAUGUAUGUACUCACCCCAACAUGAAUUGUAUGAAUGAAGAAGAAGAAGAACAGAGAAGGAGCCUGCCUACAAUUUAUUAAAGAGGAAUUUUAGGAUCCCAUUUCUUUAGAUUUUAGUUUGUUUAAGUGAGUUCAAUGAAAUAAUCCCAAUUGUUGGUCUAUUGAGCCCCACUGUGGAUGGAACCUACCCUAAAAAUAUCAUCAAUAGGAUAAUUCCAACCAUUCAAUUUGUCACCUGUAAGUAGAUGGCUGAAACGAAAUGUUGCAAUGGUCCAUCUUCAACUUAGAAAAGCCCUGUAAUUGGUGGCUUGGUUCUUCUGAACUGGGAGAUCUGUUUCGGCAUGAUCUAUCUUGGAUGCGCUCAA